GGACUGCCUUUUGCAUAAUGAGCCUGCGAGUUGUGGUGUCUGGCAAGGUUAAGCAAACGCGAAGCCGUAGCGAAAGCGAGUCUGAAUAGGGCGCUUAGUCAGAUGCUGCAGACCCGAAACGAAGUGAUCUAUCCAUGAGCAAGUUGAAGCUAGUGUAAGAACUAGUGGAGGACUGAACCCAUAGGCGUUGAAAAGCCCCGGGAUGACUUGUGGAUAGGGGUGAAAGGCCAAUCAAACUUCGUGAUAGCUGGUUCUCUCCGAAAUAUAUUUAGGUAUAGCGUUGUGUCGUAAUAUAAGGGGGUAGAGCACUGAAUGGGCUAGGGCAUACACCAAUGUACCAAACCCUAUCAAACUCCGAAUACCUUAUAUGUAAUCACAGCAGUCAGGCGGCGAGUGAUAAAAUCCGUCGUCAAGAGGGAAACAACCCAGACUACCAGCUAAGGUCCCUAAAUCUUACUUAAGUGGAAAACGAUGUGAAGUUACUUAAACAACCAGGAGGUUGGCUUAGAAGCAGCCAUCCUUUAAAGAAAGCGUAAUAGCUCACUGGUCUAGUGAUUUUGCGCGGAAAAUAUAACGGGGCUAAAGUAAGUACCGAAGCUGUAGACUUAGUUUACUAAGUGGUAGGAGAGCGUUCUAUUUGCGUCGAAGGUAUACCGGUAAGGAGUGCUGGAGCGAAUAGAAGUGAGCAUGCAGGCAUGAGUAGCGAUAAUUAAUGUGAGAAUCAUUAACGCCGUAAACCCAAGGUUUCCUACGCGAUGCUCGUCAUCGUAGGGUUAGUCGGGUCCUAAGUCGAGUCCGAAAGGGGUAGACGAUGGCAAAUUGGUUAAUAUUCCAAUACCAACAUUAGUGUGCGAUGGAAGGACGCUUAGGGCUAAGGGGGCUAGCGGAUGGAAGUGCUAGUCUAAGGUCGUAGGAGGUUGUACAGGCAAAUCCGUAUAACAAUACUCCGAGAACUGAAAGGCUUUUUGAAGUCUUCGGAUGGAUAGAAGAACCCCUGAUGCCGUCGAGCCAAGAAAAGUUUCUAAGUUUAGCUAAUGUUGCCCGUACCGUAAACCGACACAGGUGGGUGGGAUGAGUAUUCUAAGGCGCGUGGAAGAACUCUCUUUAAGGAACUCUGCAAAAUAGCACCGUAUCUUCGGUAUAAGGUGUGGUUAGCUUUGUAUUAGGAUUUACUCCGAAAGCAAGGAAACUUACAACAAAGAGUCCCUCCCGACUGUUUACCAAAAACACAGCACUCUGCUAACUCGUAAGAGGAUGUAUAGGGUGUGACGCCUGCCCGGUGCUCGAAGGUUAAUUGAUGGGGUUAGCAUUAGCGAAGCUCUUGAUCGAAGCCCGAGUAAACGGCGGCCGUAACUAUAACGGUCCUAAGGUAGCGAAAUUCCUUGUCGGUUAAAUACCGACCUGCAUGAAUGGCGUAACGAGAUGGGAGCUGUCUCAAAGAGGGAUCCAGUGAAAUUGUAGUGGAGGUGAAAAUUCCUCCUACCCGCGGCAAGACGGAAAGACCCCGUGGACCUUUACUACAGCUUGACACUGCUACUUGGAUAAGAAUGUGCAGGAUAGGUGGGAGGCUUUGAGUAUAUGACGCCAGUUGUAUAUGAGCCAUUGUUGAGAUACCACUCUUUCUUAUUUGGGUAGCUAACCAGCUUGAGUUAUCCUCAAGUGGGACAAUGUCUGGUGGGUAGUUUGACUGGGGCGGUCGCCUCCCAAAUAAUAACGGAGGCUUACAAAGGUUGGCUCAGAACGGUUGGAAAUCGUUCGUAGAGUAUAAAGGUAUAAGCCAGCUUAACUGCAAGACAUACAAGUCAAGCAGAGACGAAAGUCGGUCUUAGUGAUCCGGUGGUUCUGUGUGGAAGGGCCAUCGCUCAAAGGAUAAAAGGUACCCCGGGGAUAACAGGCUGAUCUCCCCCAAGAGCUCACAUCGACGGGGAGGUUUGGCACCUCGAUGUCGGCUCAUCGCAUCCUGGGGCUGGAGCAGGUCCCAAGGGUAUGGCUGUUCGCCAUUUAAAGCGGUACGCGAGCUGGGUUCAGAACGUCGUGAGACAGUUCGGUCCCUAUCUGCCGUGGGCGUAAGAAGAUUGAAGAGAUUUGACCCUAGUACGAGAGGACCGGGUUGAACAAACCACUGGUGUAGCUGUUGUUCUGCCAAGAGCAUCGCAGCGUAGCUAAGUUUGGAAAGGAUAAACGCUGAAAGCAUCUAAGCGUGAAGCCAACUCUAAGAUGAAUCUUCUCUAAGCUCUCUAGAAGACUACUAGUUUGAUAGGCUGGGUGUGUAAUGGAUGAAAGUCCUUUAGCUGACCAGUACUAAUAGAGCGUUUGGCUUAUCUUUAAUAAAGCAU
rnacentral:rRNA from 1 species